rnacentral:rRNA from 1 species
GAUCCUGCCGGAAGCUACCGCUAUUGGAGUUCGAUUAAGCCAUGCGAGUCGAGAGUCUUAGGGACUCGGCGUACCGCUCAGUAACACGUGGGUAACCUGCCCUAUGCUGGGGAAUAACCUCGGGAAACUGAGAAUAAUGCCCCAUAGUCCACAAUGCCUGGAACGGUUUGUGGAUCAAAGCUCCGGCGGCAUAGGAUGGGCCUGCGGCGUAUCAGGUCGUAGGGGGUGUAACGUACCCUCUAGCCAUCGACGCGUACGGGUGUUGGGAGACAUAGCCCGGAGAUGGAUUCUGAGACACGAAUCCAGACCCUACGGGGUGCAGCAGGCGCGAAAACUUGGCAAUGCGAGAAAUCGUGACCAGGGAACUCCAAGUGGCUGGGGUAAGACCCAGUCUUUUCUUGACUCUUCAAAGGUCUUGGAAUAAGGGGUGGGUAAGGACGGUGCCAGCCGCCGCGGUAAUACCGGCGCCUCAAGUGGUAGUCGAUUUUAUUGGGCCUAAAACGUCCGUAGCCUGUUUGGUACAUUCGUGGGUAAAUCAACCAGCUCANCUGAUUGAGUUCUGCGAGCACGGCCAGACUUGGGACCGGGAGAGGUGUGG